AGAACGAACGCUGGCGGCAUGCCUAACACAUGGAAGUCGAACGAGACCUUCGGGUCUAGUGGCGCACGGGUGCGUAACGCGUGGGAAUCUGCCCUUGGGUUCGGGAUAACAGUUGGAAACGACUGCUAAUACCGGAUGAUGACUUCGGUCCAAAGAUUUAUCGCCCAGGGAUGAGCCCGCGUAGGAUUAGCUUGUUGGUGAGGUAAGAGCUCACCAAGGCGACGAUCCUUCGCUGGUCUGAGAGGAUGAUCAGCCACACUGGGACUGAGACACGGCCCAGACUCCUACGGGAGGCAGCAGUGGGGAAUAUUGGACAAUGGGCGAAAGCCUGAUCCAGCAAUGCCGCGUGAGUGAUGAAGGCUUAGGUGUAAAGCUCUUUACCGGAUGAUAAUGACAGUACCGGAGAAUAAGCCCGGCUAACUCCGUGCCAGCAGCCGC
rnacentral:rRNA from 1 species